GUGGGUAGUUUAACUGGGGCGGUUGCCUCCUAAAUGGUAACGGAGGCGUUUAUUAAGGUAGGCUAGGCGCGGAUGGAAAUCGCGCUGGUAGUGCAAACGCAUAAGCCUGCUUGACUGCAAGAGUGGCAACUCGCGCAGGUACGAAAGUAGAAGUUAGUGAUCCGAUGCGUUCGAGUGGAAGACGCAAAGCCCAACGGAUAAAAGUUACUCUAGGGAUAACAGGCUGAUCCUCUCCAAUAGUCCACAUAGACGAGGGGGUUUGGCACCUUAACAUAAUCGGGGUGCAUGAGGAGCGAUCCUUUUCCUAAGUCUUCGUCCGUCUUCCCGACUUUAAAGUCGGGAGAAAAAAUCGAAGCAAAUAAAUUCGGCUUAUAACGGUGAACCCGUAAUUACAUGAGUUGGAACUAUGUUUACUUUUUGUAGACAACAUGUAAACGGCAAUACCGUGGGAAGUUGUAGCAAGUAAUAAGUAAUUAGUAACAAGUAAUAAGAAUUGCAGAAAUGCAUUUUCUAAUUACUCCUUACUCCUUACUAUUUACUACUAUUAACCCCGUAACGACUGACCCGAAAGGGGAGAUCUGAAUUUGUGAUUUAGUACUGAGUGAUUAGUACUUAGUAAUACAUUAAUGUAUUUACUAAUAACUAAGCACUAGGCACUAAUGACUAAUUUAGAUAACACGCCGACUCUUAUCGCAAAAAAGCAAGACCAUGGUCCCUGACCUGACGGUCGCUGAUAAGAUGAAGAUAUAGUCUGCCCCAUACGAAAGUAUGGAAUAAUGUACGAUGUCGGCUCAUCACGUCCUGGGGGUGAAGAAGCUCCCAAGGGUUAGGCUGUUCGCCUAUUAAAGUGGUACGCGAGCUGGGUUCAAAACGUCGUGAGACAGUUUGGUCCUUAUCUGCUGUGGGUGUACGAAAUUUGAGUGGGCACAUCCCUAGUACGAGAGGACCGGGAUGUAUGGACCUCUGGUGUACCCGUUGUUCUUUCAAGAGCAUCGCGGGGUAGCUAGGUCCAGUUUAGAUAAGCGCUGAAAGCAUAUAAGCGCGAAGCUGUCCACAAGACUAGAUUUCGUUGUGUAGCAAUACACGAAAGGUUCGCGGAAGACGACCGCGUAUUAUAAGUUAGUGCAUAGUGCAAAGGAAUUGGUGCUUAGUAGCAAUACUAGGUACUAUGAACUAAGUACUAAGUACUCGCUUUUAUAGGCUGCAGGUGUACGCACAGUAAUGUGUUCAGCCGAGCAGUACUAAUCAACCGAAAGUUUAAUGUAU
rnacentral:rRNA from 1 species